UACAGAGACUGCAAGCGUUAUUCGGAUUCACUGGGCGUAAAGGGUGCGCAGGCGGCCAGAUGUGUCAGGUGUGAAAGCUCCGAGCUUAACUCGGAAAUUGCGCCUGGAACUAUUUGGCUAGAGUGUCGGAGAGGGAAGCGGAAUUCUUGGUGUAGCGGUGAAAUGCGUAGAUAUCAAGAGGAACACCAAAGGCGAAGGCAGCUUCCUGGACGACAACUGACGCUCAGGCACGAAAGCGUGGGUGGCAAACAGG
rnacentral:misc_RNA from 1 species